rnacentral:rRNA from 1 species
AAGCAGCUUGCUGCUUCGCUGACGAGUGGCGGACGGGUGAGUAAUGUCUGGGAAACUGCCUGAUGGAGGGGGAUAACUACUGGAAACGGUAGCUAAUACCGCAUAACGUCGCAAGACCAAAGAGGGGGACCUUCGGGCCUCUUGCCAUCGGAUGUGCCCAGAUGGGAUUAGCUAGUAGGUGGGGUAACGGCUCACCUAGGCGACGAUCCCUAGCUGGUCUGAGAGGAUGACCAGCCACACUGGAACUGA